GACCCGCUCCCCGCGCGGUGGGAACGAGGCGGGGCGUGGCCGCGGCGCUGCUGAGAAGUCGGGGCCGCCGAGCCGCUGUCGGCGGGAAGCGGCGAUCCUGCCACCGGGAGGUGUGGAAGAGCCGGAUUCUGGCUACAUUGGAGAUUGGUUGCUUUCUAAAACUGAAGGAGAAGCCCAUGAAGAGAUGGUGGAUUCUCACUGAGUUUUGACUAGCGGAAGAAAAGAGAGAGUUCAAGUGGAUGGCCUUGAGGACUUGAAAAGCUGAGAUAUGAUGAUUUUGAAGUCAUUUCACAUCGAAGCCAUGAUUUAAAUAUCGGCGUUAAGAUUUCAACAAGAAAAACUUAAGCUUCCUUGGAUUCCCACGUCAAAGGAAAGUUUCAAGCUUUCAGAAGGAGUUCUCACUCGAAGAUAAAGAACAGCUCGCUAACCACGAAAGAGGAAUCGAUGCUCAGCUUUUAGUUGCACUUCCUAAAGUUGCAGAAUUAAGACAAAUCUUUGAACCAAAGAAGAAAGAAUUCUUAG
rnacentral:lncRNA from 1 species